UUUUAUUAAUCUCUUUUUUACUCUAUGAAAUUCAUAUCUUUGAUACAUAAUUUCACAUCUGCUAACUCAUGUCUAUCUCCUUCACUUUUCACUCCUCAAAUUACGUUAUAUUUUAUCUCUCAUAAUCGUAUCAGUUUAUUUCAAGAUAUUUCUCUCUCCAAUCAAACGAUUUUUCAUUCCUUCUGUAUAGGUAUUACCCAGAUAAUGGCAUCUAACACCAAUCAUGUUUAUGACCAUGAAGACGCAAGUUGGUUUGAGAAUAGAUCAAUGAAAUUGCAUUGAUCCCCUGUAAUUGCCAACGUGAGUAUUGAGAAGGAGAGGAAGAAUGUGUCUUUUUCUUCAAAAAUGAAGGUUGAAAAAUCCCCUAAAAAGGGGUAGAAACAUGUCAUCUUCAAUUUUUCGUCCUAAUCUACCUAAGGGACUGUGGUUUGUUUGUGGCCGCGUUUGCUGAAUUCCUUAGCGCCAAUAAUAUAAUUAUUUUGUAUUUGAUUAUCUCCGUUUAAUAUAUGCAACAUAGUUAUGAAAAUAUGCAGUGAAAAGGCUGAAGCUUGAUAUGUUAGUGAUAAUGACAAUCCACUGAAGUCUAGGGGUCAUUUGACAUCAUCAGACCAUGAUGCGACAGUUUUUGUGUAUCAAUAGAUACACAAUGUUUUUUUUUGUUUUUACUAUUUUCAAGAUACGUUAAAAUAAGUGUAGGAGUAUUUCUCUAAAAUGUUAUUUUGUCUGACUUUUUAAUAUCAAUAUAUUCUAUUUCUUUAAUC